CGGGUAUAUUGCCGUAGCUUCUGAUGCACUCCGCACGGCUGAUUAUCGGUAUCUCUGCCGCCUGCAGGCUAUUGCUUCUGCUACCACCCUAAAAGAAUAAUAUUUUCUUGGGAACCCCAGCCGGAGACAACACAUUUGGUACCCACUGAAUAUUGUCUUGUGCUAAGCGGCAGAGCGGUUACCUCCGAGUUCCAUGAUGAUGAUCAAUAAUAUAAUAUACCCCAUUUAGUGGGGUUAAAAAUGGGUUACACACUUUAUAAGGGAAUUAGAAUACCCUGCUUUGUACAGCUCCUCUGGAUGUGGACGGAUACUACUCACG
rnacentral:sRNA from 13 species